rnacentral:rRNA from 1 species
UAGUUGGUGGGGUAACGGCUCACCAAGACAACGAUACAUAGGGGGACUGAGAGGUUAACCCCCCACAUUGGUACUGAGACACGGACCAAACUCCUACGGGAGGCAGCAGUGAGGAAUAUUGGUCAAUGGACGCAAGUCUGAACCAGCCAUGCCGCGUGCAGGAAGACGGCUCUAUGAGUUGUAAACUGCUUUUGUACGAGGGUAAACGCAGAUACGUGUAUCUGUCUGAAAGUAUCGUACGAAUAAGGAUCGGCUAACUCCGUGCCAGCAGCCGCGGUAAUACGGAGGAUUCAAGCGUUAUCCGGAUUUAUUGGGUUUAAAGGGUGCGUAGGCGGUCGGAUAAGUUAGAGGUGAAAUCCCGGGGCUCAACUUCGGAAUUGCCUCUGAUACUGUUCGGCUAGAGAGUAGUUGCGGUAGGCGGAAUGUAUGGUGUAGCGGUGAAAUGCUUAGAGAUCAUACAGAACACCGAUUGCGAAGGCAGCUUACCAAGCUACUUCUGACGUUGAGGCACGAAAGCGUGGGGAGCAAACAGGAUUAGAUACCCUGGUAGUCCACGCAGUAAACGAUGAUAACUCGUUGUCGGCGAUACAGUGUCG